rnacentral:tRNA from 1 species
UCCCUUGUGGCUCAGCUGGUAAAGUAUCUGCCUGCAAUGCAGGAGACCUGGGUUUGAUCCCUGGGUUGGGAA